GACAGCAGUAGCCGCGGUAAUACGGAGGAUCCAAGCGUUAUCCGGAAUUAUUGGGUUUAAAGGGUCCGUAGGCGGUCUUGUAAGUCAGUGGUGAAAGCCCAUCGCUCAACGGUGGAACGGCCAUUGAUACUGCAGGACUUGAAUUAUUGGGAAGUAACUAGAAUAUGUAGUGUAGCGGUGAAAUGCUUAGAGAUUACAUGGAAUACCAAUUGCGAAGGCAGGUUACUACCAAUUGAUUGACGCUGAUGGACGAAAGCGUGGGUAGCGAACAGGAUUAGAUACCUCAGUAGUCCCUGUCUCUUAUAA
rnacentral:rRNA from 1 species